rnacentral:rRNA from 1 species
AGAGUUUGAUCCUGGCUCAGGAUGAACGCUAUCGGGAGGCCUAACACAUGCAAGCCGAGCGGUAGAUCUUCUUCGGAAGAUUGAGAGCGGCGUACGGGUGAGGAACACGUGUGCAACCUGCCUUUAUCUGGGAGAUAGCCCUCCGAAAGGGGGAUUAAUAUUCCAUAAUAUACUGAUUGGCAUCGAUUAGUAUUGAAAGCUCCGGCGGAUAGAGAUGGGCACGCGCAAGAUUAGAUAGUUGGUGAGGUAACGGCUCACCAAGUCAAUGAUCUUUAGGGGGCCUGAGAGGGUGAUCCCCCACACUGGUACUGAGACACGGACCAGACUCCUACGGGAGGCAGCAGUGAGGAAUAUUGGACAAUGGGUGCAAGCCUGAUCCAGCCAUCCCGCGUGAAGGAUUAAGGUCCUAUGGAUUGUAAACUUCUUUUAUACAGGGAUAAACCUCUCCUCGUGAGGAGAGCUGAAGGUACUGUAUGAAUAAGCACCGGCUAACUCCGUGCCAGCAGCCGCGGUAAUACGGAGGGUGCAAGCGUUAUCCGGAUUUAUUGGGUUUAAAGGGUCCGUAGGCGGACCGGUAAGUCAGUGGUGAAAGCCUACAGCUUAACUGUAGAACUGCCGUUGAUACUGUCGGUCUUGAGUGUGGUUGAGGUAGCUGGAAUGAGUAGUGUAGCGGUGAAAUGCAUAGAUAUUACUCAGAACACCAAUUGCGAAGGCAGGUUACCAAGUCACAACUGACGCUGAUGGACGAAAGCGUGGGGAGCGAACAGGAUUAGAUACCCUGGUAGUCCACGCUGUAAACGAUGCUAACUCGUUUUUGGGCUUUCGGGCUCAGAGACCAAGCGAAAGUGAUAAGUUAGCCACCUGGGGAGUACGUUCGCAAGAAUGAAACUCAAAGGAAUUGACGGGGGCCCGCACAAGCGGUGGAUUAUGUGGUUUAAUUCGAUGAUACGCGAGGAACCUUACCAAGACUUAAAUGGGAAUUGACAGAUUUAGAAAUAGAUCCUCCUUCGGGCAAUUUUCAAGGUGCUGCAUGGUUGUCGUCAGCUCGUGCCGUGAGGUGUUAGGUUAAGUCCUGCAACGAGCGCAACCCCUGUCACUAGUUGCUAACAUUCAGUUGAGGACUCUAGUGAGACUGCCUACGCAAGUAGAGAGGAAGGUGGGGAUGACGUCAAAUCAUCACGGCCCUUACGUCUUGGGCCACACACGUAAUACAAUGGCCGGUACAGAGGGCAGCUACACAGUGAUGUGAUGCGAAUCUCGAAAGCCGGUCUCAGUUCGGAUUGGAGUCUGCAACUCGACUCUAUGAAGCUGGAAUCGCUAGUAAUCGCGCAUCAGCCAUGGCGCGGUGAAUACGUUCCCGGGCCUUGUACACACCGCCCGUCAAGCCAUGGAAGCCGGGGGUACCUGAAGUCGGUGACCGUAAAAGGAGCUGCCUAGGGUAAAACUGGUGACUAGGGCUAAGUCGUAACAAGGUAACC